rnacentral:rRNA from 1 species
CCCAACCCCUGUGACAUACCUAUACGUUGCCUCGGCGGAUCAGCCCGCGCCCUGUAAAAAGGGACGGCCCGCCCGAGGACCCUAAACUCUGUUUUUAGUGGAACUUCUGAGUAAAACAAACAAAUAAAUCAAAACUUUCAACAACGGAUCUCUUGGUUCUGGCAUCGAUGAAGAACGCAGCAAAAUGCGAUAAGUAAUGUGAAUUGCAGAAUUCAGUGAAUCAUCGAAUCUUUGAACGCACAUUGCGCCCGCCAGUAUUCUGGCGGGCAUGCCUGUUCGAGCGUCAUUUCAACCCUCAAGCUCAGCUUGGUGUUGGGACUCGCGGUAACCCGCGUUCCCCAAAUCGAUUGGCGGUCACGUCGAGCUUCCAUAGCGUAGUAAUCAUACACCUCGUUACUGGUAAUCGUCGCGGCCACGCCGUAAAACCCCAACUUCUGAAUGUUGACCUCGGAUCAGGUAGGAAUACCCGCUGAACUUAAGCAUAUCAAUAAGCCGGAGGAAA